AGCGUACACGGUGGAUGCCCUGGCAGUCAGAGGCGAUGAAGGACGUGCUAAUCUGCGAUAAGCGUCGGUAAGGUGAUAUGAACCGUUAUAACCGGCGAUUUCCGAAUGGGGAAACCCAGUGUGAUUCGUCACACUAUCAUUAACUGAAUCCAUAGGUUAAUGAGGCGAACCGGGGGAACUGAAACAUCUAAGUACCCCGAGGAAAAGAAAUCAACCGAGAUUCCCCCAGUAGCGGCGAGCGAACGGGGAGCAGCCCAGAGCCUGAAUCAGUGUGUGUGUUAGUGGAAGCGUCUGGAAAGGCGUGCGAUACAGGGUGACAGCCCCGUACACAAAAAUGCACAUACUGUGAGCUCGAUGAGUAGGGCGGGACACGUGGUAUCCUGUCUGAAUAUGGGGGGACCAUCCUCCAAGGCUAAAUACUCCUGACUGACCGAUAGUGAACCAGUACCGUGAGGGAAAGGCGAAAAGAACCCCGGCGAGGGGAGUGAAAAAGAACCUGAAACCGUGUACGUACAAGCAGUGGGAGCACGCUUAGGCGUGUGACUGCGUACCUUUUGUAUAAUGGGUCAGCGACUUAUAUUCUGUAGCAAGGUUAACCGAAUAGGGGAGCCGAAGGGAAACCGAGUCUUAACUGGGCGUUAAGUUGCAGGGUAUAGACCCGAAACCCGGUGAUCUAGCCAUGGGCAGGUUGAAGGUUGGGUAACACUAACUGGAGGACCGAACCGACUAAUGUUGAAAAAUUAGCGGAUGACUUGUGGCUGGGGGUGAAAGGCCAAUCAAACCGGGAGAUAGCUGGUUCUCCCCGAAAGCUAUUUAGGUAGCGCCUCGUGAAUUCAUCUCCGGGGGUAGAGCACUGUUUCGGCAAGGGGGUCAUCCCGACUUACCAACCCGAUGCAAACUGCGAAUACCGGAGAAUGUUAUCACGGGAGACACACGGCGGGUGCUAACGUCCGUCGUGAAGAGGGAAACAACCCAGACCGCCAGCUAAGGUCCCAAAGUCAUGGUUAAGUGGGAAACGAUGUGGGAAGGCCCAGACAGCCAGGAUGUUGGCUUAGAAGCAGCCAUCAUUUAAAGAAAGCGUAAUAGCUCACUGGUCGAGUCGGCCUGCGCGGAAGAUGUAACGGGGCUAAACCAUGCACCGAAGCUGCGGCAGCGACGCUUAUGCGUUGUUGGGUAGGGGAGCGUUCUGUAAGCCUGCGAAGGUGUGCUGUGAGGCAUGCUGGAGGUAUCAGAAGUGCGAAUGCUGACAUAAGUAACGAUAAAGCGGGUGAAAAGCCCGCUCGCCGGAAGACCAAGGGUUCCUGUCCAACGUUAAUCGGGGCAGGGUGAGUCGACCCCUAAGGCGAGGCCGAAAGGCGUAGUCGAUGGGAAACAGGUUAAUAUUCCUGUACUUGGUGUUACUGCGAAGGGGGGACGGAGAAGGCUAUGUUGGCCGGGCGACGGUUGUCCCGGUUUAAGCGUGUAGGCUGGUUUUCCAGGCAAAUCCGGAAAAUCAAGGCUGAGGCGUGAUGACGAGGCACUACGGUGCUGAAGCAACAAAUGCCCUGCUUCCAGGAAAAGCCUCUAAGCAUCAGGUAACAUCAAAUCGUACCCCAAACCGACACAGGUGGUCAGGUAGAGAAUACCAAGGCGCUUGAGAGAACUCGGGUGAAGGAACUAGGCAAAAUGGUGCCGUAACUUCGGGAGAAGGCACGCUGAUAUGUAGGUGAAGUCCCUCGCGGAUGGAGCUGAAAUCAGUCGAAGAUACCAGCUGGCUGCAACUGUUUAUUAAAAACACAGCACUGUGCAAACACGAAAGUGGACGUAUACGGUGUGACGCCUGCCCGGUGCCGGAAGGUUAAUUGAUGGGGUCAGCGCAAGCGAAGCUCUUGAUCGAAGCCCCGGUAAACGGCGGCCGUAACUAUAACGGUCCUAAGGUAGCGAAAUUCCUUGUCGGGUAAGUUCCGACCUGCACGAAUGGCGUAAUGAUGGCCAGGCUGUCUCCACCCGAGACUCAGUGAAAUUGAACUCGCUGUGAAGAUGCAGUGUACCCGCGGCAAGACGGAAAGACCCCGUGAACCUUUACUAUAGCUUGACACUGAACAUUGAGCCUUGAUGUGUAGGAUAGGUGGGAGGCUUUGAAGUGUGGACGCCAGUCUGCAUGGAGCCGACCUUGAAAUACCACCCUUUAAUGUUUGAUGUUCUAACGUUGACCCGUAAUCCGGGUUGCGGACAGUGUCUGGUGGGUAGUUUGACUGGGGCGGUCUCCUCCUAAAGAGUAACGGAGGAGCACGAAGGUUGGCUAAUCCUGGUCGGACAUCAGGAGGUUAGUGCAAUGGCAUAAGCCAGCUUGACUGCGAGCGUGACGGCGCGAGCAGGUGCGAAAGCAGGUCAUAGUGAUCCGGUGGUUCUGAAUGGAAGGGCCAUCGCUCAACGGAUAAAAGGUACUCCGGGGAUAACAGGCUGAUACCGCCCAAGAGUUCAUAUCGACGGCGGUGUUUGGCACCUCGAUGUCGGCUCAUCACAUCCUGGGGCUGAAGUAGGUCCCAAGGGUAUGGCUGUUCGCCAUUUAAAGUGGUACGCGAGCUGGGUUUAGAACGUCGUGAGACAGUUCGGUCCCUAUCUGCCGUGGGCGCUGGAGAACUGAGGGGGGCUGCUCCUAGUACGAGAGGACCGGAGUGGACGCAUCACUGGUGUUCGGGUUGUCAUGCCAAUGGCACUGCCCGGUAGCUAAAUGCGGAAGAGAUAAGUGCUGAAAGCAUCUAAGCACGAAACUUGCCCCGAGAUGAGUUCUCCCUGACUCCUUGA
rnacentral:rRNA from 1 species